GAUGAACGCUGGCGGCGUGCCUAAUACAUGCGAGUCGAGCGAACAGACGAGGAGCUUGCUCCUCUGACGUUAGCGGCGGACGGGUGAGUAACACGUGGAUAACCUACCUAUAAGACUGGGAUAACUUCGGGAAACCGGAGCUAAUACCGGAUAAUAUAUUGAACCGCAUGGUUCAAUAGUGAAAGACGGUUUUGCUGUCACUUAUAGAUGGAUCCGCGCCGCAUUAGCUAGUUGGUAAGGUAACGGCUUACCAAGGCGACGAUGCGUAGCCGACCUGAGAGGGUGAUCGGCCACACUGGAACUGAGACACGGUCCAGACUCCUACGGGAGGCAGCAGUAGGGAAUCUUCCGCAAUGGGCGAAAGCCUGACGGAGCAACGCCGCGUGAGUGAUGAAGGUCUUCGGAUCGUAAAACUCUGCUAUUAGGGAAGAACAAAUGUGUAAGUAACUAUGCACGUCUUGACGGUACCUAAUCAGAAAGCCACGGCUAACUACGUG
rnacentral:rRNA from 1 species